rnacentral:rRNA from 1 species
UACGUAGGGAGCAAGCGUUGUCCGGAAUCAUUGGGCGUAAAGCGCGCGUAGGUGGCCCUGUAAGUCCGUUGUGAAAGUCAAAGGCUCAACCUUUGAAAGCCGAUGGAUACUGCAGGACUAGAGUACGGAAGAGGCGAGUGGAAUUCCUGGUGUAGCGGUGGAAUGCGCAGAUAUCAGGAGGAACACCAAUAGCGAAGGCAGCUCGCUGGGACGUUACUGACACUGAGGCGCGAAAGCGUGGGGAGCGAACAGG